AUGCUCGGCUCAAAAAGUCAAAAAACGCCAGCUACACUCGGGCUGCAUGGAAAUAAGUCGUGGCUGUGGGGGCAACUUGGACCAAUAUCAACAUCUGCAACCAUGUGUAGAUUCGUGCAUGCGACGGAUACUCUCUUUUCAGGCCAGUCUCUGUAUGGUAACCGUACCCUACUGUCCAAGAAUGGUGCCUUUGAGUUGGGUUUCAGCUGCCUAUCUCCUCCAUGCUCAGAGUUUACAUUUGGCAUCUGGUACGUCAACACAUCAACUGGCGUCAACUCAUCAACUUGUAGUGCUCUUCUAGUUUGGUCUCCUCAAUUGCAGGGUUACCUCGUCGCCUUAGACCCUCAGACCUCUGUUCUUAGCCUCUCAUAUGGCAACUUACAACUCACCUCGCAGUUGACCUAUGGCUUUGAUGCUAUUGCAUGGUCAUCAGAAGAGAGACCAAAUGAAUCUACUUCUGCAGUUGCGUUACUUCUUGACAACGGAAAUCUGAAUUCACAUGUAUAUGUACAGUUGCAUCCUGAUGGUACUGUCACUGCUGCUAAACUAUGGGGUUGUGGGACUGUGUUGUGGUCUGCUCAAGAUUCCAGGCAGGAAAAACCAGUAUGCAAGCAAGAAAUAUUGUAUACCAAGAAAGAGAAGUCAUAUCCAAAGAUUAAAAUCGUUGUUCUAAUUACAGUGAUGGGUGUGUUAACCGUUAUGCUUGUUUGUCUUGUUCUUUUCUGGAGAAGGAGAAACAAGCCAUCCCUGGAACUAUCAAUGAGUUCCAAUAGCGGCCUCAAGAUCUUUUCAAACAUGCAAAUAAAGAAGGCAACGAAGAAUUUCUCCGAAAAACUUGGAGAAGGGGGUUUCGGCUGUGUUUACAAGGGGGAAUUGGCAGGUUUCUCUCUAGUGGCAGUCAAAAAUCUAAAAAGCAUCGGACAAGGGGAAAAGGAAUUCCGAGCAGAAGUACAGACAAUUGGCAUAAUUCACCACAUCAAUAUUGUCCGGUUAUUUGGUUUUUGUGCGGAAGGGCUGAAAAGGGUUCUGGUAUACGAGUACAUGGAGAAUGGUUCUUUGAGUUCUCAUCUGUUUUCAAAGAGUUCGGCCGUAUUAACCUGGGAUCUCCGGUACCAUAUUGCACUUGGAACUGCAAGAGGCUUGGCUUAUCUCCAUGAGGAAUGUAAAGAAUGCAUUAUACAUUGUGACAUGAAGCCAGACAAUGUACUUCUUGAUGCAGAGUUCUGCCCCAAGAUUGCGGACUUCGGCAUGGCCAAGCUUCUAGGUCGAGAUUUCAGCAGGGCUUUGACAACAAUGCGAGGGACCAUUGGAUAUCUUGCACCGGAGUGGAUAUCGGGGUUACCGAUCACACAUAAGACUGAUGUUUACAGCUAUGGCAUGAUGCUUCUUGAAAUCAUAUCUGGUCGAAGGAACUCAGAGAAAAUUAAGGAAGGAAAGUUCACAUACUUUCCCAUCUUUGCGGCAAUCAAGGUGAAUGAGGGAGAUGCUAUGUGUCUGCUGGACAGUAGGUUGGAAGGCCAGGCAGAUGGAGAGCAGCUGAGCAGAGCUUGCAGAAUUGCAUGCUGGUGCAUUCAAGAUGCUGAGGAUGACAGGCCGAUGAUGGGACAAGUUGUUCACAUGCUGGAGAAUGUCAUGGAUGUCGAAAUCCCACCUACUCCAAGGUCACUUGAACACUAUGUUGGCAUGGAGGAUUGCUCAUACUAA
rnacentral:rRNA from 1 species